AACGAACGCUGGCGGCAUGCCUAACACAUGCAAGUCGAACGAGACCUUCGGGUCCAGUGGCGCACGGGUGCGUAACGCGUGGGAACCUGCCCUUAGGUUCGGAAUAACUCCCCGAAAGGGGUGCUAAUACCGGAUAAUGUCUUCGGACCAAAGAUUUAUUGCCUUUGGAUGGGCCCGCGUUGGAUUAGCUAGUUGGUAGGGUAAAAGCCUACCAAGGCGACGAUUCAUAGCUGGUCUGAGAGGAUGAUCAGCCACACUGGGACUGAGACACGGCCCAGACUCCUACGGGAGGCAGCAGUGGGGAAUAUUGGACAAUGGGCGAAAGGCUGAUCCAGCAAUGCCGCGUGAGUGAUGAAGGCCGUAGGGUUGUAAAGCUCUUUUAACCGGGAUGAUAAUGACAGUACCGGGAGAAUAAGCUCCGGCUAACUCCGUG
rnacentral:rRNA from 1 species